CAAACAUAUAAACAUACAAACCAACACACAUUUUUUGUUGUAUACAUAAAAGAAAUGGAAAACAAAAUAAAUGUUUAUGUUCAAAGAAGUUUUGUAUUAGAAGUGACGUGUUUUUUAAAAGAUAACAAUGUCAAUUGUCAGAAAAUCUAUAAAAACAAUAACAACGAAAAUUAAAGUAUAAUGUUAAUGCUUGAGAAAAUAUUAAACAAUCAAACAGUCUUAUUGGAAAAGGUUACAAAAAUAGAAAAUGAAUUGGAUAAACUAAAAGCUGAUCAAAUUCAAGCUACAAUAAUAAUUAAACAACUUGUAAAAAAAACGUGCAUGUGGGAAAUGACCCAGAUUUCCCAAUUUUAAAUAUUGAAGAUAUGGAAAAACUUAACAGCCUUAUUUCUGCCGACCCAAAUUCAUAUUAUAUCUGUUUUUUAGAUUCCAAAAAUUAAGACAAUAUUGAGGCCAGGCGGUUUAGAAAAAAAUUUUGAUAGAUUAUUGAAUAAAGAUGUAUAUCUGUCAUUAAAUUAUGAUGGAUUGAAUGGCAAGAGGGGGUUAAAGGAGUUCCAGUCGCUGCAUGAUGUAAUUUACGAAGCUCUAAAGGAAGAUGGCUAUACCAUUCAAGUAUUUAAAAAGAAAAUGCAACACUGUUUCAAAAUUUAUAAGAAUAGAUUUUUUUCAAAAAAAUCCAGAGAAAAAGAAAGCAAAAUUAAUAUUAAAAACACAUAAAAAUGUCCAUAUCUAUUUUUCUUUUUUCUUAUCAAUUGGAUUUUGGAUUGCAUACAAUUUGGAUUGGAUUACAUACUUUUCCAUUGAAUUUUAAUUGAAUUGAAUUUAUAAACAUUUUCAUAAUUCUUAUUUAUUUUUAAAUUUUUAAAUUAAUAAAAAAUAUAUAAC